rnacentral:rRNA from 1 species
CCUACGGGAGGCAGCAGUGAGGAAUAUUGGUCAAUGGGCGCGAGCCUGAACCAGCCAAGUAGCGUGAAGGAUGACUGCCCUACGGGUUGUAAACUUCUUUUAUAAAGGAAUAAAGUGAGGCACGUGUGCCUUUUUGUAUGUACUUUAUGAAUAAGCAUCGGCUAACUCCGUGCCAGCAGACGCGGUAAUAAGGAGGAUCCGAGCGUUAUCCGGAUUUAUGGGGUUUAAAGGGAGCGUAGAUGGGUUGUUAAGUCAGUUGUGAAAGUUUGCGGCUCAACCGCGCCCCGCAGUUGAAACUGGACGCCUGGAGUUCACAACAGGCAGGCGGAAUUCGUGGUGUAGCGGUGAAAUGCAUAGAUAUCACGAGGAACCCCGAUUGCGAAGGCAGCCUGCCGGGGUGCGACUGACGCUGAGGCUCGAAGGUGCGGGUAUCAAACAGGAUUAGAUACCCCUGUAGUC